UGGGGAAUAUUGCACAAUGGGGGAAACCCUGAUGCAGCGACGCCGCGUGAGUGAAGAAGUAUUUCGGUAUGUAAAGCUCUAUCAGCAGGAACGAGAAUGACGGUACCUGACUAAGAAGCCCCGGCUAACUACGUGCCAGCAGCCGCGGUAAUACGUAGGGGGCAAGCGUUAUCCGGAAUCACUGGGUGUAAAGGGAGCGUAGACGGCAAGGCAAGCCUGGAGUGAAAGGCGGGGGCCCAACCCCCGGACUGCUCUGGGAACUGUCUGGCUGGAGUGCAGGAGAGGUAAGUGGAAUUCCUAGUGUAGCGGUGAAAUGCGUAGAUAUUAGGAGGAACACCAGUGGCGAAGGCGGCUUACUGGACUGUAACUGACGUUGAGGCUCGAAAGCGUGGGGAGCAAACAGG
rnacentral:rRNA from 1 species